GCAGGCUGGCUGAAACAAUUAUCUGCUAAAGGUGGAUUCAAUAAGGAUGGCAAGACGAGCGUUCUGGGUCCCAAGUACGACCUCUUGUUUCAGAAGAUCGAAGACCGAUCUGCUGGACUUCUCACGGCGCUUCACAUCUUGCGAUAUCACGCUCAGGAACUUGACGCCUCAGGCAGCCGGAAAAACCCCGAACUUGACGAAUACUUCCAGCUCGUCCAAGCCAAGGUCCUGAAACUGUAUGGGUCCCUCUACCACCUCCGAAAAACAG